rnacentral:rRNA from 1 species
GAUGAACGCUGGCGGCGUGCCUAAUACAUGCAAGUCGAGCGAACGGACGAGAAGCUUGCUUCUCUGAUGUUAGCGGCGGACGGGUGAGUAACACGUGGAUAACCUACCUAUAAGACUGGGAUAACUUCGGGAAACCGUAGCUAAUACCGGAUAAUAUUUUGAACCGCAUGGUUCAAAAGUGAAAGACGGUCUUGCUGUCACUUAUAGAUGGAUCCGCGCUGCAUUAGCUAGUUGGUAAGGUAACGGCUUACCAAGGCAACGAUGCAUAGCCGACCUGAGAGGGUGAUCGGCCACACUGGAACUGAGACACGGUCCAGACUCCUACGGGAGGCAGCAGUAGGGAAUCUUCCGCAAUGGGCGAAAGCCUGACGGAGCAACGCCGCGUGAGUGAUGAAGGUCUUCGGAUCGUAAAACUCUGUUAUUAGGGAAGAACAUAUGUGUAAGUAACUGUGCACAUCUUGACGGUACCUAAUCAGAAAGCCACGGCUAACUACGUGCCAGCAGCCGCGGUAAUACGUAGGUGGCAAGCGUUAUCCGGAAUUAUUGGGCGUAAAGCGCGCGUAGGCGGUUUUUUAAGUCUGAUGUGAAAGCCCACGGCUCAACCGUGGAGGGUCAUUGGAAACUGGAAAACUUGAGUGCAGAAGAGGAAAGUGGAAUUCCAUGUGUAGCGGUGAAAUGCGCAGAGAUAUGGAGGAACACCAGUGGCGAAGGCGACUUUCUGGUCUGUAACUGACGCUGAUGUGCGAAAGCGUGGGGAUCAAACAGGAUUAGAUACCCUGGUAGUCCACGCCGUAAACGAUGAGUGCUAAGUGUUAGGGGGUUUCCGCCCCUUAGUGCUGCAGCUAACGCAUUAAGCACUCCGCCUGGGGAGUACGACCGCAAGGUUGAAACUCAAAGGAAUUGACGGGGACCCGCACAAGCGGUGGAGCGUGUGGUUUAAUUCGAAGCAACGCGAAGAACCUUACCAAAUCUUGACAUCCUUUGACAACUCUAGAGAUAGAGCCUUCCCCUUCGGGGGACAAAGUGACAGGUGGUGCAUGGUUGUCGUCAGCUCGUGUCGUGAGAUGUUGGGUUAAGUCCCGCAACGAGCGCAACCCUUAAGCUUAGUUGCCAUCAUUAAGUUGGGCACUCUAAGUUGACUGCCGGUGACAAACCGGAGGAAGGUGGGGAUGACGUCAAAUCAUCAUGCCCCUUAUGAUUUGGGCUACACACGUGCUACAAUGGACAAUACAAAGGGCAGCGAAACCGCGAGGUCAAGCAAAUCCCAUAAAGUUGUUCUCAGUUCGGAUUGUAGUCUGCAACUCGACUACAUGAAGCUGGAAUCGCUAGUAAUCGUAGAUCAGCAUGCUACGGUGAAUACGUUCCCGGGUCU